rnacentral:tRNA from 1 species
GCCCAAGUAGCUCAGUCGGCAGAGCGCAUCCAUGGUAAGGAUGAGGUCCGCGGUUCAAUUCCGCGCUUGGGCU